rnacentral:rRNA from 1 species
GACGAACGCUGGCGGCGUGCUUAACACAUGCAAGUCGAACGAUGAAGACCGGUGCUUGCACUGGUUGGAUUAGUGGCGAACGGGUGAGUAAUACGUGAGUAACCUGCCUUUGACUCUGGGAUAAGCCUUGGAAACGAGGUCUAAUACCGGAUACGACUAACCUUCGCAUGAAGUGUUAGUGGAAAGGGUUUGUACUGGUUUUAGAUGGGCUCACGGCCUAUCAGCUUGUUGGUGAGGUAAUGGCUCACCAAGGCGACGACGGGUAGCCGGCCUGAGAGGGUGACCGGCCACACUGGGACUGAGACACGGCCCAGACUCCUACGGGAGGCAGCAGUGGGGAAUAUUGCACAAUGGGCGCAAGCCUGAUGCAGCGACGCCGCGUGAGGGAUGACGGCCUUCGGGUUGUAAACCUCUUUCGGCAGGGGAGAAGCGAAAGUGACGGUACCUGCAGAAGAAGCGCCGGCUAACUACGUGCCAGCAGCCGCGGUAAUACGUAGGGCGCGAGCGUUGUCCGGAAUUAUUGGGCGUAAAGAGCUUGUAGGCGGUUUGUCGCGUCUGCUGUGAAGCCCGGGGCUUAACUCCGGGUUUGCAGUGGGUACGGGCUAACUAGAGUGCAGUAGGGGAGACUGGAAUUCCUGGUGUAGCGGUGGAAUGCGCAGAUAUCAGGAGGAACACCGAUGGCGAAGGCAGGUCUCUGGGCUGUAACUGACGCUGAGAAGCGAAAGCAUGGGGAGCGAACAGGAUUAGAUACCCUGGUAGUCCAUGCCGUAAACGUUGGGCACUAGGUGUGGGGGACAUUCCACGUUUUCCGCGCCGUAGCUAACGCAUUAAGUGCCCCGCCUGGGGAGUACGGCCGCAAGGCUAAAACUCAAAGAAAUUGACGGGGGCCCGCACAAGCGGCGGAGCAUGCGGAUUAAUUCGAUGCAACGCGAAGAACCUUACCAAGGCUUGACAUAUACUGGACUCCCCUAGAGAUAGGGUUUCCCUUCGGGGCUGGUAUACAGGUGGUGCAUGGUUGUCGUCAGCUCGUGUCGUGAGAUGUUGGGUUAAGUCCCGCAACGAGCGCAACCCUCGUUCUAUGUUGCCAGCACGUGAUGGUGGGGACUCAUAGGAGACUGCCGGGGUCAACUCGGAGGAAGGUGGGGAUGACGUCAAAUCAUCAUGCCCCUUAUGUCUUGGGCUUCACGCAUGCUACAAUGGCCGGUACAAAGGGUUGCGAUACUGUGAGGUUGAGCUAAUCCCAAAAAGCCGGUCUCAGUUCGGAUUGGGGUCUGCAACUCGACCCCAUGAAGUCGGAGUCGCUAGUAAUCGCAGAUCAGCAACGCUGCGGUGAAUACGUUCCCGGGCCU